AGCCCCGGAGGUCACCUGCGUGUGCCUGGCUGGGGCACGGCGCUGCCCACGUCUCUCUGCCCAAGAGCGAUCUCCACCUGUUUCUCAGACUCCCUCACAGAGAUCUCUGCUCGUCCCUACCCCUUUCCGUCCCUCUCACAGACAUUUCUGUCCCUCUGUGUCCUCCGCAAAACUCAGCUGUCCCUCGGUCACGUGCCUCUCUCUCUUGGCCGCGCCCUGUGCUCUCUGACCCAUCAUCAACCUCUGAAAUACACCCAGAAUCUGGCCUCUUCUCCCCUCCCUGCCCCUCGCCCCCGUCCAGCCCUGCCAUCCCUCACACGCUGACGUCCCCCACCCCACAGCAGCCGGAAGGAGCCUUUAAAAAGUGUGAGUCCGUGGAAAGGGGGCAGCCAGUUUGGAAAACCACGUGUGCAGAGCCACACCGCGGAGUAUUAUUCGGCCAAAAAAAAAAAAAAAAAAAAAGGGACGAAACUGAUACUCGCUACGGCAGGGACGGGCCUUGGCGACAUUACGCUCAGUGAACCGAGCCAGUCACAAAAGGCCACAUGUCGUAUGAUUCCAUUUUUACGAAGUGUCCAGAACAGGAGAAUCCGCAGAGACAGAAAGUGACAAAAAUGCUCUGAAACUGUGUGGAUGGUUGCCUGCGUCUGAGUACACGAAGACUACAGAGUUACACGCUUUAAACGGACGGUCUAUGGUGUGAGAAUUAUAUCUUAAUAAAACUAUUUGAAAACA